UCGAAAUGCUCACCUAUACUUUAGGGGAAAAAAACCCACAACAUUUUGCAAAAAUGGAAUAAAUGAUCAUUCAAAGCAAAAGCAUGCAGUUCAAAAGCUAAACCUCCCAUUGGAGAACAGAAAAUUUAAUGAGCUUUUAAUGGAAUGCAAUGCUCAGAGUAGUAAAUUAUUUGUUAGUUGACGAUGCAAUCAGCAUGCUGAUUAAGGUUGCUUGGUUUUUUACUAAACAUUAACUGAAUGAAAACGGGUAGCCCUUGUUCUGCUUGGGGGGCUUUAAGGAAGCAAAUGGACUUUCAGAACAGAGAUUGUCAAUAAAGGCAAAACAACAUGGCAAAUGGAGCCCGAUGGUGCAGCCAGAGGAACCCUGAGGCUGGAGUUCUGGGGCUCAGGGUGUGAUACUCAGAAAAAUAAUUUGCCUCUCUGCAUUUCAACAUGUGUUCCUAAGUGGAGAGCUAAGCUUUCUGAGACUACACAUAUGCAUGCAAGAGCACUGCAUCUAUCCUCUAGACAGAAGUCUUUAACAUCACUCUGUCAAAGGGUGUUUUAUCUCAGCAAUGAGAGAAAAGUACCCAAGACACAUGGCCUAGAAGAAAAAAUUUUUUCAAGACUCAAGAAGUCUGAGGAUGGAUAAUCCAGAAUGGAUUUUUACUGAAUGAGAAAGCAAUAUUGCAAAUAUUGCUAUUAAUUCAAACACAUGGCACAGGAGUCAUGAAUACCACAGUAAGCACCUAUAGGGGGCGUUCAUUAUUUCUUUAUUAGUGCAUGUUUGUGGUAUAUAAUGUUUACAUUAUUUGUGGGGAAUUGGUACAUGUUCACAAUAGAUCUUAGUUCCGUUUUAAAUCUCCUUUCCCAUCAUCCUUUCUUUCCCCUCUAUGCAUCUCUGGCCAUUAGAGAAAUGCAAAGUAAAACAGCACUGAGAUUCCAUCUUAACCCAGAAAGAAUGGCUACCAUCAAGAAAUCAGAUAAUAACUAAUGCUGGCAGGGAUGUGGGGGGAAAGGGAGCUACCUACAUUAUUGAUUGGAAUGUAAACUAAUACAACCACUUUGGAAAUCAGUAUAGAGAUUCCUAAAAAAUCUGAAACUAGAAACUCCAUUUGACCAAGCUGUUCUCCUAAGUAUCUUCCUGAAAGAAUUAAAGUCAUCAUGUUACAGAGAUACAUGCAUAACAUUUUUAUAGCAGCAGAAUUCAUAAUAGCUGAAUGUCUAUCAACAUAUGUCUAUCAACAGAUGAAUAGAUAAGAAAACAUAUUUACACACCCUGGAGUGCUACUCUGCCAUAAAGACAAAGUGGAGUCAUUUGCAGGAAAAUGGAUGCACCUUGAGACCAUAAUGUUAAGUGAAAUAAAUCAGACACACAAGCUUAAACAUCACAUAGUUUCUCUUAUAUAAGAAACCCAAAGAAUAAACAAAAGGCAAAAUAAAAGAUAGAUGAUCAGAAGCAGGGAGAUAGAUCUUCCUCAAAUGAGAAGAGGAUGAAGAGAUGCAGAGAAGGGGAGGGAGGAGAGGGAAAGAGGAUGAAAAACUAACGAAGAUGUGUUCUGUUCUGGUUCCAACUCCACACAAGGAAUGGAAACAUCAUGUAUUGCAGACAUGUAUAAAAAUUUUUUAAAUUUUAUAAAAUUAAAAAAAUUUUUUUUGUUAAGAAACAAAAAUCCUCAAAAAGAAAGAAGUCCUUUAAGAAUACCAAAUAUUGGGGCUGGGGAUUUAGCUCAGUGGUUCCGGCGCCUGCUGUGCAAGUACAAGGACCCGAGUUCGAUCCUCGGUACCCAAAAGAAAAAAAAAAGAAUACCGAAAAUGCUCCUUUUCUAGUCUCGAUAAGUGAGAAAACCAAGGGAGAAACGUGCUGAGAAUGGGUUUGGGGAAGCUAUUGAACAUCUACAGUGUUGGCUAUAGGAAGCUACUGGUCACCCCCAGUUGGGUCUGAUGACAGAGAGCGCCUUCUACUUCUGUUGCUUAUGCCUGUGACACCACAUUCUUGAUUUCUGGAGCUGAGAUAAUUAUAGUACUAAUUUCCUAAAGUUCUUAUAUGUUCAUUUUGUGAGCUAGGGAAUGGAAAGUGCUCAACACAAUGUCUGGCACAUAGCAGGCUUUAAUUAAUAUGGGCAACUGUAGAAGUGCCCAGGAAUUACUGACGUUAUGCUCAGCUCAUACUUCUCUUUGACUAAGGAGAGUGAGCCCAUUAACAUUGUCUGUAUAGUGCCUUUAACUUUUCAAAAACAGUGUUUGUCCAAGGAAUUCCCACCUCGAGCUCUGGCGAUGUCCUCCAAAAAAGUGUGGGUGGAACCGACCCCACAUCGCAGGCCUGGGGGGGACCCCUGCAGCUGACCCGGGGCAGAGCUGCUCAGGCCGGAAGUGGAUAGACACCCAGCUGUGCCCUGAGAGGGGCCGCCAGGAUUCCAGGCAAGGUCUUUAUUGCUGAAACUCUUGCAUAAUGACAUCUUUAUUCAUGUGAAAGCGCAGUGUGGAAUUCCACUGUAUGAAAUUGUUUAUGUUCAUCAGAAAUGUUAUUUGUCUUUACAAAGUCUGGUUUCAAUGAACCUGCUCUGUAAUGGAUAUUAAAUAAACAUGGAAUUUUACACGUUCAUAAUAUUUGGUUUCUUGUUGUGAUUUUGAUGAACUACGCUUUCAAGCAUUGUCAGUUCAUCCUUAUUUACAAAGAACCAUUUGCUUGUAGCAGAGUGAUGUAGUGACUUGCUCUAUUUUAAGAUAAAGUCAACUUUUCUAUUCAAUGUUUAAUGUGAAACUCAGAAAUAUUCUUUUAGGUCACAUUUACAUCUCUGUCUGUAUAACAUGCACUAUAUUAUUUUAACUAAUACUGUGAGCUAUAUAAACCAAAGACAUUCUAAUUCUGCUUUUAAUGUAUUUUUUGUAAGAUAAAUAAUUUAUAAUGCACUAAUAAAACUAAGGAGCUCAUGUUAAAACUUGUUAUAUGACCUACUGAAAUUGAUCUAUAGAAACUGAC
ensembl:lncRNA